GCUGCGGGAAGGCUGUCACAGUGGGGUUUGCGGUUCAUAACCUGUCACGCAGAGUCUCGGGGACUGGGAGAAGCCGAGUGAAGAGAGGGUGGGAGAGCCUCGGUUUCCCCGCACGUUCGGGAACGCCUCCACCCCCUUCUUCCAUCCUUACUCUUUCCCGCUUCUCCCUGGACUCACCUGUUUAUUUCCAUCGCUCAGAGGUCUGGGAUUUUUGUUUGUUUGUUUUUAAACGUGGGCCAAAGGGGCUGGGUUUAUCAUUAUUAUUAGCAAGAUUAUUGGGGAGGUGAGAGGGUGUUGCUGAAAUCGAUGCUGGUCCAGGUCGGUUUUCAGGGAGGGGGGAGGGGACUUGGCGGAGACCCUGGCUCCCGGCCGCAGCUGACCCCGGGGCUCCUCCCCUCCUUCCCGGUGAGGAAUCCUUUCCCUCGCUCUGCGUAGCCAGCUGCCACCUUCCCGGAGAAAGACCACACCUAUGCUUCUUCACGCUUUGGAGGCGAGCUUCAGAACAGGAAGAAGGCUCAAAAUAGAACUACCUUAGGAAUCCAGCGCCUUCACCAGAUCAACUUUGAAACCAGCUGCUGGGGGAACCAAGUGAACUUUGACCCUGAGCCAACGGGAAGAGAAAGCUGUUGGAGACAGCGGUAGGAAGUGUUUUUCUCAAGUUCCUCACUGCACGGGGCACCCUUCCUGGACCUGGUGACUGACAGGCUGCCCUGGCUCAGUUAUCACAGUGCUGAUGCUGUCCAUUCUAAAGGUACAGUACUGUGAUAACUGAAGGAUGGCAGCCAUCUUGCCUUCCUCCCAAGAAGCCUUCUCACAGAAGAUGAAAGAGAACUGGGAAGCAGCCCGCUGGGACGAGACCUUCCUCUUCUAGGCUCCAGGUGGUGAUAGCAGGAAAUAAAAGGGCCUUGUCGUUUGCCUGGGAUGUAAAUGCUGUGGUUACUGAGUAGAUGGAAGGUCUGUGGAGCCUUGGAGUCUUCGGGAGGCUGGUGUUACCGAAGUCCUAAGGACGAAUCAGUAUAUCUGGAGUGGUAGUGAGAGAAAUGAGCCAUAUUGUAAAUGCAGAAGGCAACUUGCUUAACAGCUUCGCACUUAGCCCUGCACUGUUAGAUGUUCAGAGUUAAGUAGAGAGGAGAUGAGUGUUGGGUGUCAAACAGUAUCGAUGUCACAGGAAAAAAAUUACACCCAUGCCUAAGGAAAUGGGUAGUGACAUGGCGUUUCCAAAACAUGUAUGUGGAACAUCACCUCCACGUGGAAACAGGUUAUUUAUUCUACUAAGUAAAGGAGGACCACUCUACAUGGCAGCACAAAUCAGCUUCACAGAUACGAAGUUAAAGGUACCAACCAGUGUCAUGGUUGUGUGAAAACGUAGACCUUAAUAAAAGCAUGUGAUUUCAGUCCUCGGCAUCUUCGAAAGUACCAUGGGUGGGGCUGUGAAGAUGGCUCUGUCACGUGUAUGCAGACAUGAGAGGACCUGAGUUUGGACCCCAGCACCCGGGUGAAAAUCCAGGCAUGGUAACAGGCAUUUGCAAUCCCCAUUCUGGAGGACAGAGACAGACGGUCCCUGGGGCUUCCUGGCCAGCUAGCCUUACUGAAUCCCCAUGCCAUAGUGAGACAUGGCAAAAAACAAGGUGGACAGCCCCUGGGAGGAACACUUCAGGUUCUCUCUGGCCUCUCCGUGCAUACACACAAGGGCAUGUGCAUGUAGACAUGCACAUACAUGUAGGAAGGAUAGUUGGAAUAGAGUAGGGCUGUUAGAGGACCUGGGCUUUAUCCCACUCUUCCAGUCAGCCCUCUUGCUGAGGACACUACAUAUGACGACAAGACAAUGAGUACCGCAGGUGAUGACAUUGUUAGGUCACAGUUCACCAUAGGGGCCCAGAUGAUCACAUAGAUUGUGUUUUUAGGCUCCACGCUUAAACAGGGUCCUGUGACCUCUUCAUAGGCUAACAUGUCUGCCUGGGAACCUUCCUCCUUGUGGAUGGCUGAGUAGUGAGGGAGCUCAAGGAGUGACUUCUGUGGAAUCAGGCCCCAUAGCUGCGAGAAGGGUCCAGAUGGGCCAGGGGGGGCAAAACCCAUGUGACUUUUAGCAUAUGCUAAAAGUGGACAUUGUCACUUUCUCUACCUGGACAGAAGGAGGAAAGCCAGACACUGGUUGCCAUCACUGCCUCUCUGCUGGCUUAGUUUCUUUCUUCUUUCCCUUCUCCAUCCAAAAAGAAGCCACGCCAGCAGUGACUUGGGUCACACCUGCUUGGCCAGAAACACUGACCGUGUGUACAGCCCAGUGCUUCAAGUGACUUCGCCCGCGCGGUUUCUACAUAAACCAUGAGCUGGCUAGGCUGCUCUUGACAGAGAGGGAGGGGUCGGUCUUGCAGUUCCUUGGAUAGGAACUUUUGACAGAAACUCUGAAAAAAAAAAAAAACGCGAGAAAGCUUUGGGAUCGGUGAGUAAUUUGAAACCCUCCUACAUUUCAGUGUUUUAGCAGGUGGAAAAAAAGCUUGAAGAAGGACUGCUUUUGUAAUCCUUGGCUUGCGUGUGGAUUUCGCCACCUUCCUGACCUUCCUGUUUUCCCGCUUACUGGUUUUACAAAAAUUCAUCAGGUCUUUUACUUGCCCGAGCUUGACCCCAGAAGACACAUUCAUGUGCAUGGGACAUUGCCGUUGUCUUACUCGUUUUGCUCUUGCUACAGUAAAAUGCCCUGACAAGCAAAUGGUAGGGAGAAAGGGGUUAUUUUAUUUUAUUAAAGACUUAACUUAUUUUUUGUGCUUUGCGUGUAUGUCUGUGUGAGGGUGCCAGAUUCUCUAGAACUGGAAUUAGCUACAAGAUGCCAUGUGGGUGCAGGGAAUUGAAGCGGGGUUCCCUGCAAGAGCCACCUCCCCAGCCCCCAGAAAGGGUUUAUUUUAAAAUCACAGUUCUAGAUUAUAGUCUCACCAUAGCAGGGGAGCCAAGGCAUCAGGAGUUUGAAGCAGCUGGCCACAUUCUAAUCAUAGUCUGGAGAGAGCAAUGAGUGUGUGUUCACUAGUGGUCUGUUUACUUCCUGCCUUGUUACACCAUCCACGAGUCCCUGCCUAGGGAAUGGUACCAAGCAGAAUGGGCUGCUCUUCCACUUCAGAUAAUGUAAUCAAAGGAUUGCCCCAUCCUCAGGCAUGCCCAGAAGCUACCUGCCCCCCAGGUGAUUCGAGGUUAUGUCAAGUUUACAGAACUGUAGCAACAAUAUUGGCUGUGAUUUGGACAGGAGUCAGGCUGAGUCAGGAGAACUGAGGCAGUGACUCUAGAUGCUUAUCCAGGCCCAGGGUCUUUGAAAACUUUGGGGUUUUCAAAAAGCUGGGUGUGGUACACACCUGUAAUCUCAGCUCUCAGGAGGUAAAGUGUGAGGAUUACCCAUGAGUUCAAAGCCAGUUUGGUGUCUGUGAGCCUGGUCUAUAGAGUGCCAGACCAGGCAGGGUUACAUACAUAGUAAGGUCCUAUCUCAACAACAAGAAGAAUAAAGGCUUGAUGUAAGAAGCUGGUGGGAAGCUCAUUACAUAGAUUUGGUUGAUGUGUUCAUUACAUAUCUCUGCAUGUCCAAAAGAAGUAAAAAGGGGCUGAGGGAAGAUCCUUGAAUAUCCAUAUUCAUAAAUAAUCUUAUUAGAAGCAAAAGAAGGGGGAAAGCCACCCAAGUGCCCAUGGAUGGAUGAAAGCUGCAUUAAGUACAGUAAAAUAUUAGGCGUUUAAAGAGAAGGGAAUUGGGACACACCAUCCACCGUGGGUUGACCUUGGUACUAUGCUAAGUGAAGGCAUAGAUAGGGUAUGACCAGAAAAGGUUACUGUUACCAGAGUCUGGAACAAGGAGGAAGUGGGGAAUUUGUACUAAAGCAGACAAAAGUUUCAUUUGGGGAGGGUGAUGGUUGCCCAGCAUGAAUAUACUUGACGCCCACAGGAUUGCCUGCCUAAAAAGCUAAGUUCUGUGUAUAUCAACAAUAAGACAUGUAGGGUGAUGAUGCUGUUGGAUGCCCUGCAACAAGACUGGCAUGCUUGCCUCAAUUUCAAUUGUAAAGAUCUCAGAGGUACUAUUCAAAGCAGUUAAAAUGUAAUUGUCAUGUCUUUUUGUGUUUAAAGUUCUCAAAUCUGUAGCCCCUUGGGUAUAUUUCCAGACAUAAGAUGGCUUUAGUUUAGUAAAAUAGAAAAACAAGAGCAUUAAAAACAGAAUGAGAAAGGCCCCGUUCUGCUGGCAAAAGUGAGCAGUGCUGGAAUUCAGGCAGUCUCCUUGACUUGGGCUUCUGUGGUACAGUAGUAAAGAUAAAAAUUACAUCCAUCUCUUGGGCCUUCGAGUUGGUUCAGUGGGUAAAGGUCCCUGGCAAGUUGCAAUCAUUUCUCGGAAUCUUUGUAAAGGUGGAAAGAAAACCUGGCUCCAAAAAGUUGUCCUCUGGCCUCUACAUGUUUGUCCCAGAGCUACAUCAUCUACACUAAUAAAUAAUGAAAAAAUUAAAAUUGUAUUUAUCUUCAAA